rnacentral:tRNA from 1 species
GGGCCUGACGAGGAGUAGAGGCAACUCCGCCAGUCUGUAGAACUGGUCCCUAACGGGCUUGAAGGUUCGAGUCCUUCCAGGCCCA